AAUUGGGGCUUAAUUAGGAUUAGGGAUUCAUUUUUUCUCUGCUUAAAGAAGAAGAAAAGACUACGGAUGGGUCCUCUGCACUCGUGCUUCUCACCGGCGUCGCCUACUACAAACGGAGGUGAGGGUGAAGGCGACAACGACGCCUACUACAGAGGGAGGUGAAUUCGACACGACGUUGCUGGGGUUCUCCGCACCUGGGGUCCGUUAAAGUCGCCCGUUCCGUUCUUCCCUUCCGUCAAAGUCAAGACCCAACAAGCAUUGAAUCCUCUCUCUCACGAAUCUCAAGCCUGAAAUCAUGGUUGAGUGUUUAACCUCUGAUUUUCAAGGUGACAUGACUGUUGUGCACACUUUGGUUCACUUAUAUUAGAUGUGUUUGCACACAACAUUGAGAUUGUUAAGCGACUUCAACAAAUUGUUCGAGAUCCUCGGACUGGGAAUAUGCUGGAGCUCGCUGAUGUAUUGAAAUCCAAAAAUGAAGAGAAUGAGGCUUACUUGUCUGAAAUUGAGACUAUUGGACAAGCAUAUGAUGAUAUGCAGACUCAAAACCAACAUCUAAUACAGCAAAUAACCGAAAGAGAUGAUUAUAACAUAAAGCUUGUUUUGGAGGGUCUGAGGGCAAGACAACUGCAGGAUAAGUUAUUAAUGGGCAAAAGAACAUUGGAGAGGGAGAUUCAGCAAGCUAAUUCAUCCCUUAAUUUUUAUGACAUGAAAGCUGCAAGAAUUGAAGAUCAGAAGAAAGUACAUCUUGGGAUGUGGUGAGUGCUAAUGAUUUAUGGGAGGGAGAGAACACUGAUUUGAAUGAAGAUGAGUAUGUUCUCGUGAGUUAGGAGGAAAAUUAUAAUGGAACAGAAGCAUGUGUUGUUGUCAUCUUUGAGUGUUGGAGUUGGGCUGUUGAGUUCAAGGCAGUCAGUGAGUAAAUGGGUUAAAGGAACGAAGGGCUCCCCAGAUUUGAUUUCUGCGGACCAGAUUGAGUAUGAGCUGAUGAUUUUGUUUGAUAGUAGAGAAAACGAGGUUUCGAUUGAGAACUUUCCAUAUUAUUUGAGGUAAUUCAAGAUUAAGAUUUUUUGGGUUAAUCUUGUUUUGUUUUUCUAUGUUUCCUUUCCCGGAAAAUGGGAGCUUGUAGCUUGGUAUAUUGUGCUAUCAAUAUGGAUAAUGCCAUCAGAGUUCAUGUUAGAGAUGAUCUCUUUUGCUAGUGUUUUGCUCACUUCUCAUGUAUUUGUUAUAACUAGUCCUUUGUUAAAGGCCUACUCUAUAUUUGUUUUAGCUUCUUUUCAAUUAAUUUUGAGAAAUUUUAUUUUAGUUGUAGGGGCUUCACUCUUGCAGAUUGUAUUUUUUUAAGAGAUCGACUCUUCUUGCCGAAUCUAAAUCUUCUCCUUUCAUUACUAUUUUAGAUUUUUAAUUUUUUUUCAACUACAUCUAGUUUUGCAUUUAGUUGCCAACCUGGGUCAACAUAGUAAGAAGGUUUUGAGUGUUUAAAAAAGUCAAGGUGAUGGUGGGAAUAGUGUUCAGUAUAAGGAUUUAUAUAUUAAGGAUAAAGUCAUGGAUCACCUUUGCAUUUCAGUAAUAAGAUAUUCUAUAAAAUAUGAACUUAGAGAAGAAUUCACAUUAAACCAAAAGUUGUGUAUCAUAACAAUGUAGGAAAAAAUUGUAUUGGUUUAAUUUGAUGAUUCCUUAUCUUGACUGGCUAUAGUAAGGUUAUAAUUUAGUCUUUUGAUGUUAACUGCAUGUAUGUUAAGGUUAAAGAUUCAAGAAUGAUAAUGUCUGGUUUAUGUGCACUUAUAUCUUCUAAGACAUAGAUCGAACUUUCUAAGAUUAAAAUUUGGAUUUACAUACUCUUUCUCAUGUCCAUGGAGUUCAUAUUCUAAAUCUGUUAUGUCAAAUAUCUUGAGCAUGACAGAAUUCCAAAGUAACUUAAAGUACUGCUGCUCUUGCCCUUUUCAUGUUAUUCUUUGCAAUAUGAAUCUGUUUUGCUAAUGCAACAUCAUCAUGCUUCAUACUCAUUGAAUGGUGCCAAUGACAGUGAGAAAACAAAGGCGUUGUUGACAAGUACUGCACAUGUUCAUUUGAAGUACUCAUAAAUCAUCUUCAACUACCUCAGAAAGUGUACAACUUAUAUGUUAUGGUAGAAUUUCUUGUAUUUUUUGGUGUGUUUAAAGUCUACUCCUUAAAAGAAUCAAUGUUCCUAGCCAGAAUAAGAAACACUAUCUUGUUUUAUGUAACUACAAUGCUCUCUUCUCCAUUUAUAUUAGAAAAGCUAUAGAGAAUUAAAUUGGAGGAUUUCUUAGAGUAAAGCUUCUGGAUACACACUGCAUCUGCAUGGAUUGUUUGUUUGUCUAGAAAAUGCAAAAAGGUAAAAGCUUUGUAAUAAGCUUGAUUUUGAUUUUUUUUUUUGGAAAUUUCAGAUGGAUUUCAAGUCUGGGCUCUCUUACGUUUGAUGGUAUUUAUUAGUUCUGACUGAAAGUUGUAUUGAUUAAAACUUGUAUAAGCGUUUGAUAUUUGACAUUUGGUGUUUGGUGUUUUGCUUUGUGAAUUGAAAGCAUGUAUCUGUUUUGGAGUUUGGUAUUUUCGGUGCUUGAUGAUCUGCAUUUUUAAUGGAUAUAAGUGGAUGACCAAUCUGAACUUUGAAAUCAUUUUUUUGGUUAUAAAAAGCUAUGAUUCCUCUCUUUCCCUUAUUAAUUUAAGCAAGAACUUCUGAUCUGUUUCAACUACUUCAUUGAUGAUUGGCCUUUUUUAUUUAUUUGGGCAAAAGAUAACUAGCUUUUUAGUUUGCACUUUUGUUGUGUUAGUUGAUUAUGUCUCAUUAAUUAUGUACUGCAUACUCAAUGUCAAAACAUAUUUGGAAAUAUAUUAGCAAAUUCACAAUGUAUGGUUAUCAAACUAAGCUACUACACAUCGAUAUUGUAUAUGUAUACAUCAUUUUUAUCAUUUGGUUUAACUUGAGUUUUUUUUAAUCAUUUUUCUUAUUAUUGAAUUUUGUCCUUGUAGCUUGAUUUUAUUUUCUCCCUAUGCAAUAUAAUAGUAUUGAAUUUGAUUAAGAAAAAUAAAAGAAAAAAAUAAAAAACAACAUAAUAUUCGAAGUUGUAAAUUUUUGUCUUAUUAAUGAUAUAUACGAAGAUAGAAUUUUAAAAAAAUAAAAUUGUUAUAAGUUUCUCAAUGAGACAUUAUCUUUUGUUGGGUGGAUUAAUUUGGUUUUUGAAUUAAUUUUUCUCAUAUAUAUAGAAAAAAAUUAUAUCAUAUUCUACUCUACUUUUCAAAGAUGACUUAAAAGUAUUGGUGUUGCUGCAAAUAUGUUCUGGACAACCUAUAUGAUUUACUAGUUCACUUUAUUCAAAACUUUUCUAAUAGAAUUUCUUCAGCAUAUCUGCUUGAUGUUUCACGAUAUAGAUUAGCUGUUAAAAUAUUUGUUUGAAUAGAUGGCAGGAAUCUUUAAGCCAUUUUAAGCACAUUUUUUAUCUGGGUAAGCAAGGAAAGCAUAGAGAUGUCAAGGUUUACUUAAUUCCUAGAAACCAUGACAUUGGCUAUGAAAGUAACCUCAUUCAUAGUCUAGAGGAGUUUGGAAAGAGGAACUAUCGAUUUACAGCAGUAGAAGUAGAAUUUACUGCCAUUGAUGCCCAAACUUUAGAUGAGUGUAGAUGACUGGAUUCUUUAGUUAACAAUGGUAAAUCAUCCACAUCAUAUCAUCAAAAGAAUCAAGCUUUCUCGUCUUGGAAUUUGUCAAGAAUGUAUCAAUUGUUGUUUGAUCUUAUCCAAGGGUUUUAUUGACCCAUAUUCCAUUGUAUCGACAUGAUUGGACAUAUUGUGGGCCUAAUCGCAAAUCUCCAAUUAUCAACCAGCGAGUGACGCACACGGCUGAUAGAGAAAUAAUGUUUGAUUAUAUUAUUGCUUUUCUACAAAAUGUGCACCUGAAAUAUUACUUUGAGUUGGUGACCUCGUAGAUGCUUUCGGAUUGAUCUUUGUUUCAAAUAAAUAGGUACUUAUCUUGUCUGGUCACGAUCAUGAUCAAUGCACUAUAACUCAUAAGUCAACAUCCGGGCCUGUAAUGGAGGAACUGUAAGUUGGCAGGAGGGAAACCUGUACCCAUCUUUCAUGUUGUUGUCUGCUACUAAUGUUGUACUUUCAAACACUUCAAGUCCUGAUGAAGAAAUAUCAACUCAGCUGUGCUUUCUUCAAGCAAUUGUUUAUCUAUCAUAUACUAAUUGUAGUUUUUAGAUAACACUUACAUAGUUAUUGUAAGUGUAUAUUUUGAUCUUGUAAUUUUUAGAUUUGGAACAUACUGAGUUCAAUUGAUUUUGUCUGCUUGUUGAUUCUGUCUUAA